rnacentral:rRNA from 1 species
GACGAACGCUGGCGGCGUGCCUAAUACAUGCAAGUUGAGCGCUGAAGGUUGGUACUUGUACCAACUGGAUGAGCAGCGAACGGGUGAGUAACGCGUGGGGGGUCUGCCUUUAAGCGGGGGACAACAUUUAGAAACGAAUGCUAAUACCGCAUAAAAACUUUAAACACAAGUUUUAAGUUUGAAAGAUUCAAUUGCAUCACUCAAAGAUGAUCCCGCGUUGUAUUAGCUAGUUGGUGAGGUAAAGGCUCACCAAGGCGAUGAUACAUAGCCGACCUGAGAGGGUGAUCGGCCACAUUGGGACUGAGACACGGCCCAAACUCCUACGGGAGGCAGCAGUAGGGAAUCUUCGGCAAUGGACGAAAGUCUGACCGAGCAACGCCGCGUGAGGGAAGAAGGUCUUCGGAUCGUAAAACUCGGUUGGUAGAGAAGAACGUUGGUGAGAGUGGAAAGCUCAUCAAGUGACGGUAACUACCCAGAAAGCGACGGCUAACUACGUG